UACGGAGGGGGGCGAGCGUUUAUUCGGAAUUAUUGGGCGUAAAGGGCGCGUAGGCGGCUGUACAAGUCAAAGGUGAAAUCCCUCGGCUCAACUGAGGAACUGCCUUUGAAACUGUACGGCUUGAGGCCGGGAGGGGGUAGCGGAAUUCCCAGUGUAGCGGUGAAAUGCGUAGAUACUGGGAGGAACACCAGUGGCGAAGGCGGCUACCUGGACCGGUUCUGACGCUGAGGCGCGAAAGCGUGGGUAGCAAACAGG
rnacentral:rRNA from 1 species